rnacentral:rRNA from 1 species
GUUUCCGUAGGUGAACCUGCUGCUGGAUCAUUACCCAAGUGAUUCCAUUCACCAUCUACCUGCUGUCCAGUUGGACUUGUGUCGGCAUCACCAUAUGCCCCUGUCUGCUGUUGAGACGGGCACGGACCGGUCGAGUGGUCUGUGGACACGGGACAACACUGAACGGACAGCUUACCCUGCGAGCAGAGCUUUGGGGUGUUUUCAAUGUUGGAGCUGGCAUACUGACUCGUUGCUGAGCAAGUGAAAGCCUGAGGUUGGCUGCUGUGAGGCAAAUGAGUUGGUGGCGGACUGCCUCGCUGGUUGGUUUGCUGCACCAACGGAGGGAGCACGCUCGUUGGGUGACCAAACGGCUGUGCUGGCGUCUGUGCGUCGUUGAGCGGUUGUUGUGCCAAGCAUAUGACACACUGGCCUGGAAUAUUGGUUGUGUUCCUGGUCUUACGUGCCGUAAUAAGCGGUGUGUCGGUGCUUGCGUGCUACGUCCGUGGCCGUGAUGAGACGACGUGGUAGGGCCCGUGCUUUGCUGAUAGCACGUGGCUUAAGACUUAAUGAGUGUCAGCUAGGCACCGCCAGUGUUCUUUUUCAUUUAUUUUUUUUUAACACUUCAUUGCUGAAGAAAGAAAUUCUAGUCUUAUCGGUGGAUCACUCGGCUCGUGGAUCGAUGAAGAACGCAGCCAACUGCGAUAAUUAGUGCGAACUGCAGAAACCUUGAACACAAAACUUUCGAAUGCACAUUGCGCCAUUGGAGUUACAUCCAUUGGCACGCCUGGUUCAGGGUCGUUAUCAUAAAAUGCACUGCUGUGCGUGUUAUGUUGGUGAGAUCAUGUCUGCUUGACGUGUUCUUGCGCUAUUUCAUUGAAUGCCCGGCUGUGGAUUGUGGUUGCGCUAGCGCGAAAUUGUCAAGUUUUUUUCGCGUUUACGGACCGUAACUUGGGCGCAACUGUUCUCCAUGUAUGCUUGGGCGGAAUGCUUCGCUGGUAGGCAUUCCUCUUUUGAAUUUUCGACCUGAACUCAGACGUGAGUACCCGCUGAACUUAAGCAUAU